UACGAAGGGGGCUAGCGUUGCUCGGAAUUACUGGGCGUAAAGGGUGCGUAGGCGGGGCUUUAAGUCAGAGGUGAAAUCCUGGAGCUCAACUCCAGAACUGCCUUUGAUACUGAGGAUCUUGAGUUCGGGAGAGGUGAGUGGAACUGCGAGUGUAGAGGUGAAAUUCGUAGAUAUUCGCAAGAACACCGGUGGCGAAGGCGGCUCUCUGGACCUGUCCUGACGCUGAGGCACGAAAGCGUGGGGAGCAAACAGG
rnacentral:rRNA from 1 species